rnacentral:lncRNA from 1 species
CCUGCUGCCAGGCAGAGUCCCAAAGGUUUCUCCUGUCUCCAGAGUCCGGGGACGUGAAGGCCACUAUUGCCGUGCUCAGCUUCAUCCUCUCCAGUGCAGCCAAACACAGUGUAGACAGCGACUCUCUGUCCAGCGAGCUGCAACAGCUGGGGCUGCCCAAAGAACAUGCCACAGGAUUGUGCCGGUCCUAGGAGGAGAAACAGAGCCCCCUGCAGGACAGCCUGGGGACACACAGCCUGAGAUUGAACCAUCUGGACGCUGUGUCCUGGAGGGUGGAUCAGACGCUCAGCUCCAGUGA